GAUGAACGCUGGCGGCGUGCCUAAUACAUGCAAGUCGAGCGAACGGACGAGAAGCUUGCUUCUCUGAUGUUAGCGGCGGACGGGUGAGUAACACGUGGAUAACCUACCUAUAAGACUGGGAUAACUUCGGGAAACCGUAGCUAAUACCGGAUAAUAUUUUGAACCGCAUGGUUCAAAAGCGAAAGACGGUCUUGCUGUCACUUAUAGAUGGAUCCGCGCUGCAUUAGCUAGUUGGUAAGGUAACGGCUUACCAAGGCAACGAUGCAUAGCCGACCUGAGAGGGUGAUCGGCCACACUGGAACUGAGACACGGUCCAGACUCCUACGGGAGGCAGCAGUAGGGAAUCUUCCGCAAUGGGCGAAAGCCUGACGGAGCAACGCCGCGUGAGUGAUGAAGGUCUUCGGAUCGUAAAACUCUGUUAUUAGGGAAGAACAUAUGUGUAAGUAACUGUGCACAUCUUGACGGUACCUAAGCAGAAAGCCACGGCUAACUACGU
rnacentral:rRNA from 1 species